rnacentral:rRNA from 1 species
CGGCUGCUCAGUAACACGUAGUCAACCUAACCUAUGGACGGGAAUAACCUCGGGAAACUGAGAGUAAUGCCCGAUAGAACGCUAUACCUGGAAUGGUUUGUGUUCCAAAUGAUUUAUCGCCGUAGGAUGGGACUGCGGCCUAUCAGUUUGUUGGUGAGGUAAUGGCCCACCAAGACUAUUACAGGUACGGGCUCUGAGAGGAGUAGCCCGGAGAUGGGUACUGAGACACGGACCCAGGCCCUAUGGGGCGCAGCAGGCGAGAAAACUUUGCAAUGUGCGAAAGCACGACAAGGUUAAUCCGAGUGGUUUCUGCUAAAGGAACCUUUUGUUAGUCCUAGAAACACUAACGAAUAAGGGGUGGGCAAGUUCUGGUGUCAGCCACCGCGGUAAAACCAGCACCUCAAGUGGUCAGGAUGAUUAUUGGGCCUAAAGCAUCCGUAGCCGGCUCUGUAAGUUUUCGGUUAAAUCUGUACGCUCAACGUACAGGCUGCCGGGAAUACUGCAGAGCUAGGGAGUGGGAGAGGUAGACGGUACUCGGGAGGAAGUGGUAAAAUGCUUUGAUCUCUCGAUGACCACCUGUGGCGAAGGCGGUCUACCAGAACACGUCCGACGGUGAGGGAUGAAAGCUGGGGGAGCAAACCGGAUUAGAUACCCGGGUAGUCCCAGCUGUAAACUAUGCAAACUCAGUGAUGCAUUGGCUUGUGGCCAAUGCAGUAUUGCAGGGAAGCCGUUAAGUUUGCCGCCUGGGAAGUACGUACGCAAGUAUGAAACUUAAAGGAAUUGGCGGGGGAGCAG